rnacentral:rRNA from 1 species
GACGAACGCUGGCGGCGUGCUUAACACAUGCAAGUCGAACGGAAAGGCCCUGCUUUUGUGGGGUGCUCGAGUGGCGAACGGGUGAGUAACACGUGAGUAACCUGCCCUUGACUUUGGGAUAACUUCAGGAAACUGGGGCUAAUACCGGAUAGGAGCUCCUGCAGCAUGGUGGGGGUUGGAAAGUUUCGGCGGUUGGGGAUGGACUCGCGGCUUAUCAGCUUGUUGGUGGGGUAGUGGCUUACCAAGGCUUUGACGGGUAGCCGGCCUGAGAGGGUGACCGGCCACAUUGGGACUGAGAGACGGCCCAGACUCCUACGGGAGGCAGCAGUGGGGAAUAUUGCACAAUGGGCGGAAGCCUGAUGCAGCAACGCCGCGUGCGGGAUGACGGCCUUCGGGUUGUAAACCGCUUUCGCCUGUGACGAAGCGUGAGUGACGGUAAUGGGUAAAGAAGCACCGGCUAACUACGUG